AGAUAACAAGCUGGAAGAUCCUACUGAAUUAAUACCUGGGAGGGGUUUGGUUAAAUCCGUGAGGGAUAUGAUUUUCGGCAGGGAAGAAGAUGAUAUGCUAUAUGAAGAUCGUAUUUUUCAGUAUGCUUCAUUUAAUUCUGCUAAGUUCUUCGCAUUGCUGAUAAUUGUCCCAUGGGCUUUGGAUUUUGUAGUUCAUGACUAUGUUCUUAUGCCUUUUCUUGACAGAUAUGUUAAGACUGUACCUUUAGCAGCACAGAUGCUUGAUGUCAGAAGAAACCAAAAGCUUGAAAUGGUUAAGGAA
rnacentral:misc_RNA from 1 species